rnacentral:rRNA from 1 species
UACGUAGGGGGCGAGCGUUGUCCGGAUUUAUUGGGCGUAAAGAGCUCGUAGGCGGUUCGAUAAGUCGGACGUGAAAUCUCCACGCUCAACGUGGAGGGGCCGUUCGAUACUGUCGUGACUCGAGUCCGGUAGGGGAGUGUGGAAUUCCCGGUGUAGCGGUGAAAUGCGCAGAGAUCGGGAGGAACACCCGUAGCGAAGGCGGCACUCUGGGCCGGUACUGACGCUGAGGAGCGAAAGCGUGGGGAGCGAACAGG